rnacentral:rRNA from 1 species
UACGUAGGGUGCAAGCGUUGUCCGGAAUUAUUGGGCGUAAAGAGCUCGUAGGCGGUUUGUCGCGUCUGGUGUGAAAAUCCAGGGCUUAACCCUGGACCUGCAUCGGGUACGGGCAGACUAGAGUGCGGUAGGGGAGAUCGGAAUUCCUGGUGUAGCGGUGAAAUGCGCAGAUAUCAGGAGGAACACCGGUGGCGAAGGCGGCCUGCUGGGCAGUUACUGACACUGAGGCGCGACAGCGUGGGGAGCAAACAGG